rnacentral:sRNA from 1 species
GGAGCCCUUGUUCAGCAUGCGGACCUCGAAGUCGGCGGCGAAUGCUGAGCCGGUGAAGGCGGCAAGAACUG